AGAGUUUGAUCAUGGCUCAGAUUGAACGCUGGCGGCAUGCUUUACACAUGCAAGUCGAACGGCAGCACGGGGUGGUAACACCCUGGUGGCGAGUGGCGAACGGGUGAGUAAUAUAUCGGAACAUGUCCGGAAGUGGGGGAUAGCUCGGCGAAAGCCGGAUUAAUACCGCAUAUGCCCUGAGGGGGAAAGGAGGGGAUCCGCGAGGACCUUUCGCUUUCGGAGUGGCCGAUAUCAGAUUAGCUAGUUGGUGGGGUAAAGGCCCACCAAGGCAUCGAUCUGUAGCUGGUCUGAGAGGACGACCAGCCACACUGGGACUGAGACACGGCCCAGACUCCUACGGGAGGCAGCAGUGGGGAAUUUUGGACAAUGGGGGCAACCCUGAUCCAGCCAUGCCGCGUGAGUGAAGAAGGCCUUCGGGUUGUAAAGCUCUUUCGGACAGAAAGAAAUCGCACGGGUUAAUACCCUGUGUGGAUGACGGUACUGUAAGAAGAAGCACCGGCUAACUACGUGCCAGCAGCCGCGGUAAUACGUAGGGUGCGAGCGUUAAUCGGAAUUACUGGGCGUAAAGCGUGCGCAGGCGGUUUUGUAAGACAGGUGUGAAAUCCCCGGGCUUAACCUGGGAACUGCACUUGUGACUGCGAGACUAGAGUACGGCAGAGGGGGGUAGAAUUCCACGUGUAGCAGUGAAAUGCGUAGAGAUGUGGAGGAAUACCGAUGGCGAAGGCAGCCCCCUGGGUCGAUACUGACGCUCAUGCACGAAAGCGUGGGGAGCAAACAGGAUUAGAUACCCCUG
rnacentral:rRNA from 1 species